UGGCUAGAAGAAGUCUGGAAGAGAUUCGGAGAAUAGUCAAUCACUAUAGAAAAUUGACUGAUAGUGAAGCUCAGAGAGCAUUUGGAGCAGUCUGGAUGGCAUGGUAGGAGUUCGUUUGUUGGAGGAAUCUGGAGGACACUAUGGAAGGUCGACCGCUGGGGGAGUCCGAAUGGUACUAUGGAAGCUCGGACAGUCGGGGGAGUUCAGAAAGAUGCCGCACAAGG
rnacentral:lncRNA from 1 species